CCUGCACAUUGUUAGAGCUUGGAGUUGCGGCCACUGCCUGGCCAAUGAACUUAUAGGUGUAUUAGUGUGCUACAGGAGGGGGAAGUCUUUUGCUAACACCGCAACGCUCUCUGGCUCAAUGAGUAGAAUUUGAUAGUAAUUCUGGCUACAAGC